UUAAUAUCCGUGCUCUAUGGUAAUCCAGAAGCAAAAAUCUCCAACGGGGGCUUCACAUCCCAAACAUUGCGUAUUUCCAAUGGAUCUAGGCAGGGCUGCCCACUAUCCCCCCUACUUUACAUAUUAGCGUUAGAACCAUUGGCCCAACAUAUCAGAAAUUUACACCAUGUCCAGGGGAUACAUAUAGGCGAGAGAACGCAUACAAUCACCCUCUUCGCUGACGAUGUCAUGCUCACCCUCUCCAAGCCGGAGACAUCCCUCCCAAUGCUUCAACGUAUAUUAGCAAAAUUUAGCAACUGCUCAUACUACAAACUUAACGCCGCUAAGACACAAGUCAUGGGCUUAAAUAUAAACAAAACCCAAUUUAAGCACAUAGAAAAGAAAUAUGCAUACGACUGGAAACAAAACCACUUAACCUUUCUGGGCAUAGACCUUACACCCCAGAUACACC